UACGUAGGGUCCGAGCGUUGUCCGGAAUUACUGGGCGUAAAGAGCUCGUAGGUGGUUUGUCGCGUUGUUCGUGAAAACUCACAGCUUAACUGUGGGCGUGCGGGCGAUACGGGCAGACUGGAGUACUGCAGGGGAGACUGGAAUUCCUGGUGUAGCGGUGGAAUGCGCAGAUAUCAGGAGGAACACCGGUGGCGAAGGCGGGUCUCUGGGCAACUACUGACGCUGAGGAGCGAAAGCGUGGGGAGCGAACAGG
rnacentral:rRNA from 1 species